rnacentral:tRNA from 1 species
GUCAGAAUGGCAUAGUGGUUUGAGUAUUGGACUAUGACUUUGGAGGCCAGGGUUUGAUUUCCUGCUUGGCUA